rnacentral:lncRNA from 1 species
UGCGGCUCUCCCAUUGGUAGAGCCGUCGGCUGCCGGCUAGAUUCUCCAAAUGCCGCUUCAAACUGUACGAUAUGCCCGGCAUAAAGCCUCGUGCGAGCGUACACUAGAUGAGAGCCCUGACUAACCGCCACCGCUUCCACCGGUGAUGGUGUGCGUGUGUACGGGUUUAGUCGCUUUGUCUGCCUCCCUCUGCAGCCUUUCGGACCUGCGCUUGUGUAGGUGUACCGGCAAUACUCUUCGAGAUAUCCCGAGCGUUCACACGUUAACGGGAGUGAUUUUUGAGCCUGCGGACGCGCUCUUGGACCUCUUGGAAGAAGACCCCUGACCCAUCUCCACAUGUCCAAGAGCGAAUUAGCCUAGGCGUCUCCGUUCAUGAUUCAUCCACGUUUCUUAUGUCGCUUUAGGUUAAGCCCUUGUCCCGCAUGCUCGAAGAAAAACGGACGCUUCCAGGUACUCGACGAGACGAGACUUCGAGAUGCUUCCUCAAGGCUUUAUACAUAUGAAUUAGCACGGUGUCCGAAAACCGCCUCUCAAAGCGAAUUCUAGUCUCGACCUGGGCAUUUACAUCUGGGUGUUGCCGCGGCUUGACCAUCUCGACCUUGUGAGUUUGAUCGACGACGAUCGCUUUUCGUGGUCGGUUUGCAGUGUUGGAGGAAGUGGACACCUUGGUUCCCCUUUUUUUAUGAAUGAUCACUCGGCUCGUUUAGUCGCUUCGGGAGCCCUGGUUCUGGUUAAAGCGGAUGGAACGAUAGGUCGAGACGCGUCACCUAGGGAUCAAGGUGCUGGAUAGGCAGAAGGAUCCGGAAAUCUGGAAACGCCCAGUCGGAGCAGAACCGGCCGUUGAUCGUGUGAGGUCGAUGAAGAGGCUUGGGAAGGGUCGAGCUUUAAAUUUUGAGUGGGUGAGAGAGAUUUUUCUUGUUUUAGAGGGGCAGGCCUAAAGAUAGAUUCAAGGGCACGGCUUGGGUGCAGUGGGCUAUGACCACGUCGCGUGAAAAGAUCGGAGCCCUCGUAGGAUUAGUGCGUGUACGAGGGUGGGCGCGCCCUAAGGACGGAGCACUGUGCGAAUCGAUAUUCGCCACUUGGAGGCCCUUCAACCUUGUCGCAUUAAUCUCGGCCAGGAUGUCAAUGAUUUGCCCCAAUGACGUCCGGUAAGAGGUAUCAACGUGGUGCUAUAGAAGUCAACGUUCGUCGACUUGGAAGCGGUCUCGAAAAAUGGAGGGGACGUCGACGGUCUCGCCGAAGAUCCGGGAGACUCCGGGAGACUCCGGGGCAGUCUCCGGUGCGUUGAACUUCCCAUCGUACUCCGUAUUGAUUUCAACGGCACCCCGAGACUCGAGCCAGACGUUACCAGCCGUUACCUACUCUGCGUGGCUCGCUCGUGGACAUACCCGUUCCCUUUUUGCCGAUUCGAAAUGGGCCCGAGGAACGGUUCCUGAUGCUAGGGCACCGAGACCGAGCCAUGGCUCGACCCGCACGGCGCUUCACUUUCACUGGCUACGUACUCUACUACUACGUGCAUGACUUAUGCAUGGCUCCGCGCUUCCCGCUGACCGUGCUUCCUUAAACGGUGCGCCACUAAUUAA